AGCCAACCCUGUUGUGGGGAAUCAGAGAAGGUAUCUCAAAUGGGAAGUCCAAUCUGGGUGCUUAGAGAUGUGUAAGAGUGAGCCAGGCGAAAGGAGGUGAACGUUCUCAGCUUCUCCUGAUUUGUUAACUUGGAAGUCAUAUUCUUUGUCUACCCCAAAGGACUACAGGGCCAAUGAGAACAGAAACUGCUUUCGUUCUGCCCCAACACACAACAGAAACAGAAGAACUGAAACCUCAGCUGAGGCUUCUGCUCUCGCAUUUCAGUAUCUCUUAUGACGUGGAAGAGCUGAGCGAUGCUUCUAAGGAGACAGAACUUUUUGCCUUGGUUUCCCCAAAAUUUCAAAGCAUCUUCAUGGAACAACAGAGAAUGCAAACGUUUCCAGACUAUAAUGCUGGGAUAGCUAAAGUGGAAAAUUUGAAUUUGGCAGGACCUCGUAGGGCCUUGAAAAAGGGAGCCAACUGGACUUCCUUUAUAAAGAUUAAGCCAAAAUGUGAUCCUUGGCAAAAGAAGCUUUUGACCAAACUAAAAGAACGGAGAAGAAUAGAUGUAUUAAUGCAACUCCAAGCAAAGUUUUUGAAGAUUUCCAAUCCUGAGCGAGUAAUGCAAGUGCUCCAGGAUCAUGCUGCAAAGACAGUCUUGCUGGCUUCAUCUCAUCCAACAUGUGUGGCUUCCCAGGGCAACUAUGACCAAAUCUGGGAGACUAUUUAUAGCAACAUCAACCUCUACCAGGAAGAUGACCUUUCAGUGCAACGAGAUGAAAAUGACCCAGCACUAAUAAAUCUUAGCCAGUGUGCUAAUAAGCCUGUGAAGCAGAAGAAAGAGACAGGUUACAGUUAUGCAGUGGCCCUACAGCUGCUGGGCUUGGAUGACGGGACUGGGCCCAGUAACAGGGAUCCUGUCCUGAUGAGGGGGACCUACUUGUCCUUUCUGUAUCUGCGUCACCUGAGGAUCCGGGAGCUGCAGCGCAUCUGCUUAGGAAUUCUGAACUAUUUUAGAUCUGUUGAGCGAACACUGACGAUCAACACUUCAGGCCUUACCUUGGUUUCAGGGAGCCUGGUCCCUACCUCAGAAGACAGUUCCUGGGUAAAUAAAGCAAAAGGAGGCAUGGGCACCUCGCAAGGCCUAGGCGCUCACCACUAUGCCCACGGGACACCUGCCGAGCACAGGGUCCAGAGCAUCCAAUUCAUGGAGUUCUCAGAAGUGGAGAACCAGGAUGACUACUACAGUAUGGAUGCUGGUUACAUCCACACCCAGGACCAGCAAGGAGUGUAUGUCAUG
ensembl:lncRNA